UACGGAAGGCAGCAGUGGGGAAUAUUGCACAAUGGGCGCAAGCCUGAUGCAGCCAUGCCGCGUGUAUGAAGAAGGCCUUCGGGUUGUAAAGUACUUUCAGUCGUGAGGAAGGUGUUAAGGUUAAUAACCUUAGCAAUUGACGUUAGCGACAGAAGAAGCACCGGCUAACUCCGUGCCAGCAGCCGCGGUAAUACGGAGGGUGCGAGCGUUAAAUCGGAAUUACUGGGCGUAAAAGGGCACGCAGGCGGUUAAUUAAGUUGGAUGUGAAAUCCCCGGGCUUAACCUGGGAAUGGCAUUCAAGACUGGUUAGCUAGAGUCUUGUAGAGGGGGUAGAAAUUCCAUGUGUAGCGGUGAAAAUGCGUAGAGAUGUGGAGGAAAUAACCGGGUGGCGAAAGGCGGCCCCUGGGACAAAAGACUGACGCUCAUGUGCGAAAAGCGUGGGGAGCAAAACAGGAUUAGAUACC
rnacentral:rRNA from 1 species